rnacentral:rRNA from 1 species
GAAGUCUAACAUGUACGCGAGUCAUUGGGUGAUAAAACCUAAAGGCGUAAUGAAAGUGAAGGAAGCUUUGCUUUCCGAGGGAGGAUGGGGACGACGGUCCAAAGGGCGGUCCCCCGCACUCCCGGGGCGUCUCAUUCUCAUUGCGAGAAGAGGCGCACCCAGAGCGCACACGUUAGGACCCGAAAGAUGGUGAACUAUGCCUGGUCAGGACGAAGCCAGGGGAAACCCUGGUGGAGGUCCGUAGCGAUUCUGACGUGCAAAUCGAUCGUCAGAGCUGGGUAUAGGGGCGAAAGACUAAUCGAACCAUCUAGUAGCUGGUUCCUUCCGAAGUUUCCCUCAGGAUAGCUGGUGCCCGCGUGAGACGAGUCUCAUCCGGUAAAGCGAAUGAUUAGAGGCCUUGGGGCCGAAACGACCUCAACCUAUUCUCAAACUUUAAAUAGAUGAGAACUCCGGCUUGCUUGAAAGUGAAGCCGGAGAUUCGGAUCAGGGUGCCCAGUGGGCCAAUUUUG